CAUUUUUUUUUCCUUUACUUCCCCAUCUGCCCAUAUAGAAUAUAUCCUUAUUGCUUUUUCUGAUUGCGAAAGCCAUUCAUGCUCAUAAAAAGAAAAAUAAAGCAAUAAGGAAAGGAAUAAAAAUCUCCCCAUGAUCUCAUGACACAGACAAAAAGAACUUAUCUUUCUGGCACACUCAUUAUUCACAAUAGCCAACAGGGGGAAGCAACCUAAAUGUCCAUCUAUGAAAUGAGUAAACAAAAUGUGUUCAUACAUACAACAUAUAUACAAAAUGUGUAUAUCUAUAUAAUGGGAUUAUUAUUCAGCCUUAAAAAGGAAGGAAAUUCUGACAUAUGACACAGACGAAACCUGAGGACAUUGUUAAGUGAAAUAAGCCAAUCACGAAAAAACAAAUAUUGCAUGAUUCCACUUACAUGCAGUACCCAGGGUAGUCAAAUUCAUAGAAACAAAGCAGAUGAAGGCUGACAGGUGCUAGAGGGAGGGGGAAAUGUGGAGUUGUUUCAGUGGGUAUAAAGUUUCAGUUUUGCAAAAUGAAAAAGUUCUGGAGGUUGACUGCACAACCAUGUGAAUAUCCUUAACACUACUGAACUGUACACUUAAAAAUGGUUAAGAUAAAUUUGAUAUUACGGGUAUUUUAGGACAAUUAAAAAAGCUGUUUUAAACAACUUGUCUUUCUAGACAUUUUGCCUAUAAAUAUGGAUGUAGACGCCUAAAAAAACAAGAAUAGAAACAUACUGCAAUCUAUUUUUCGCACCUAACCAUAGGAUGUAAACAUCUUUCCCAUAUAUAUCGUUCUUACCUCCUUUUUUAAUGGCUGAUAGUACCCAUCACAUGACUGCAUCAUAAUUUAACCAGUCUGUUUUCAGUCUUUCAACAUUAUAAAAACAUCAUAGUCAACAUCUUUGCAUAUUUUCUCAUUCUGUCUCAUAACAGACAUCUGGUUUUUUUUACAUGCCCUUCUUCUGGCAUCAACGCCCUGAUUUCUCCCAAGGAAAAAAAUACCUUCUCCUCAUGCAAACACCCAUCCGGACCUAUACCUCCUGACCUCUAGGCAACAGUUACUCUAUUUUAAAGUCUAUUUCUAGGUGUUUAUUUUUCAUGUUGCUAUUGUCAUCUCACCAUUCCAUUUUCUGACUAUGACUGCUGGCAUAAAGCUAUGGUUUUUGCCUACCUUAUGGUUUGCUUAUUUUUAACUCGAUUCCCUUGAAUUUUCUCAGCAGAUAAUCAUAUCAUAUGUAGACAAUCAUAGCAUUUAGGUAGUGAUUAAGGGCAAAUGCUCUGGGUUCAGGGAGACCUGGAUUCAAAUCCUGUGUGACCUUGGCCAAGCAUUUUUAUCUCAAUUUCCUCAGCCAUAAGCUGGGGAUUACACUAGUGGCUAUCUCCCAGAGUUGUUGUAAAAAUCGUCUUAUCACCUGAGACCAGUGCAUGGAGAGUGCUCAACACAGUAUUAGUUCAAUAAGUGUCUGCUAUCUGAUGAGAAGGAACACAUAACUUUCCAUAUGGACAUCUUUUUUUUUUUUCUGGUUGCAUUACACAUUAUAAAAGGUGCAGUCCUUUUCAGCAAUUAACUUGCUUUCCACGUCUCAAAAUUAAAAAAAGAAAAAUAGAUGCCAUCAGAUUCUUUGCAAAGGAUCUGUGCUGUGGAUCGCAUCCACUCUCACAGUCUCUGGAAAGCUGUGCCAUCGAUUUUUCCCCUUCAUCUGUACUUUCUCAGCCUCGCCCUCACUCGCUGGCUCUCUGCCACCAGCAUUUAAAUCUGCUCGUGUCUCUCUCCUGCUUAAAAUGACUUCACCUGAUUCCCCACUCUACAGCCUGCCUUCUCUCGCUUCCCUUCACAGCCACACUUCUUGGAGCUGCCUACACCGUCUUUACUUUCUCACAUCCCACUCUCUCUCAUCCCACUGACAUAUUACAUUGAACCUUUGGAAGUUGCCGAUAUUAUAGAUUCCGCCCCCACCCUUUCACCAAAUCUGCUCAAUUAAAGUGCUUGGUGACCUCUAUACUUACUUAUGCAAAAGGCACAUUUUAGCCUUUAACUUAUUUCGCUUGAAAUCUCAGCAGCACCGUCCAGCAAAGUUGACCUCUUCCUUGAGCUUUCAUUACUACACACUCUUAGCUUUUCUCCCACUUCCCUGGCCAUUUUUUCCUGUGUAGUCUAAGUGAAUGGUUCUGUCUAGAGUGUGCAACAUAGUGCCGCAAUGUGAAAAACAGCCUGGAGGAGUGAUGAGACUGAGAAAAAACAAAAAACCAAACCUCUGAUCAAACACACACAAUACAUAUUCAUCACCUGAUUUAAAUCCUUUGGUGCGCCCCACUAGACCCCACAAAGAAGCCCAAACGCCUCAAAACUUACAAGGGCAACUGCUUAUCUGUCAAAUACACCUAGCCAGACCACUUCCAAUCGGUCUAACCAGGCUGUGAAAUCCUUGCAAAUGUCCAAGAAGUCUGCAUUUUUCACCCCAAGACCUUGCACUGGCUGUUCUCUCUACCUAGAACAGAACGCACUCCACCAGCUUCAUCUUCCAGCAGAUACAAAGGCAGCCUUCAUGUCUCAUUUUGGAAGUCAUCUUCUUUUGGAAUCUCUCUUUGACCAUUUUCCACAACCUCAUCUCCAGCUAUUUAGGUGAACUGACUUCUCUGCAUAUUCACAAUCCCCAGUAUGUCAAAAAUCAAAGCUGGAACCACAAUGAAUUCCUAUUUAUACGGUAAAACUGUGGAGUUCCCUGAGAACAAGAUGUCUCAUUCACUUUUUUACUCCUGGCCAUCAGCCCAGGCCCUGGCACACAAUACAUGCUCAAUGAUGGACCUCCUAGUAGUAGUGGUAGUAAUAAUAAAAGUUCCCAAGGAUUGAGGACUCACCUGCAAGAAUUUGAAAUCUAAAUAUACUUCAUAAUUACCAUCUAAGACAGGUGCUCUCAUUAUCCCCAUUCUGCAGAUGGGAAAACUGAUACACAAAGAAAUCAAUCCUCUCUGGCCCCAGAGUCGCACAGAAGCACGUUCUCUAUAGUUCCGAGUUAUUCCUCGAUCCCCAAAUAAGAAUGGCUUUUUUUUUUUUUAAGAAACUUUCAAAUCAGGCCAACAGCCCCCAAAUAAACAUCCCAAAGCGCUCUCCACACCAACGCCGAGGGUUAAAGGGCACGAGGGGGCGCCGCCCUGGCGCCGGCAGGGAGCUUAAAGGUCAGGCCCCGGUCUCCUUCCUUGGGGUCCCCAGACUCCCAGCCCCUCGCCUGCUGCGACGAGUCGACGCCGGGAGACGCGCGUUUGGGCCGCGACUACCCUCCCGGCCCCUGCUCACCUGCAGUGCAGCC
rnacentral:lncRNA from 1 species